AAGUCGAACGGUAGCACAGAGAGCUUGCUCUCGGSGUGACGAGUGGCGGACGGGUGAGUAAUGUCUGGGAAACUGCCUGAUGGAGGGGGAUAACUACUGGAAACGGUAGCUAAUACCGCAUAACGUCGCAAGACCAAAGAGGGGGACCUUCGGGCCUCUUGCCAUCAGAUGUGCCCAGAUGGGAUUAGCUAGUAGGUGGGGUAACGGCUCACCUAGGCGACGAUCCCUAGCUGGUCUGAGAGGAUGACCAGCCACACUGGAACUGAGACACGGUCCAGACUCCUACGGGAGGCAGCAGUBGGGAAUAUUGCACAAUGGGCGCAAGCUGAUGCAGCCAUGCCGCGUGUAUKAAGAAGGSCUUCGGGUUGUAAAGUACUUUCAGCGGGGAGGAAGGUGUUGUGGUUAAUAACCACAGCAAUUGACGUUACCCGCAGAAGAAGCACCGGCUAACUCCGUGCCARCAGCCGCGGUAAUACGGAGGGUGCAAGCGUUAAUCGGAAUUACUGGGCGUAAAGCGCACGCAGGCGGUCUGUCAAGUCGGAUGUGAAAUCCCCGGGCUCAACCUGGGGMCUGCAUUCGGAACUGGCAGGCUAGAGUCUUGUAGRGGGGGGUAGAUUCCCGGUGUASSG
rnacentral:rRNA from 1 species